rnacentral:misc_RNA from 1 species
CCAAACUUGGUCAUUUAGAGGAAGUAAAAGUCGUAACAAGGUUUCCGUAGGUGAACCUGCGGAAGGAUCAUUAAAAUGAACCUGAACACUUGGUAGCUUCGGCCGCUAAAGUGAAAACCAAACGUUGAACCUUUCUAUGUUUUGCUUCGGCAGCACGUCACUUAAUUGUGGUGGUAAGGCUGCCAGAAGCCCAUUAUAAAAUCAGUUGAUGAAAUGUCAUGCUGUCUGAUACUUUUAUUAGUAUUUUGAGAAAUCAAAUAACUUGUUAAAACUUUCAGCAACGGAUCUCUUGGUUCCCGCAUCGAUGAAGAACGCAGC